rnacentral:rRNA from 1 species
UACGUAGGGGGCAAGCGUUGUCCGGAUUUAUUGGGCGUAAAGAGCGUGUAGGCGGCUAGAUAGGUCCGUUGUGAAAACUCGAGGCUCAACCUCGAGACGUCGAUGGAAACCAUCUGGCUAGAGUCCGGAAGAGGAGAGUGGAAUUCCUGGUGUAGCGGUGAAAUGCGCAGAUAUCAGGAAGAACACCCGUGGCGAAGGCGGCUCUCUGGUACGUGACUGACGCUGAGACGCGAAAGCUAGGGGAGUGAACAGG